rnacentral:rRNA from 1 species
AGCGAACGUUUGCGGCGGGCUUAACACAUGCAAGUCGAACGGGCUGUUCCUUCGGGGGCAGUCAGUGGCGCACGGGUGCGUAACACGUAGGUAAUCAACCCUCUGGUUGGGGAUAACACUUCGAAAGGAGUGCUAAUACCCGGUAUGGCGCAGCGGUCUUCGGAUCGCGGCGAGAAAGACCCGCAAGGGUUGCCAGAGGACGAGCCUGCGGCCCAUCAGCUAGUUGGCGAGGUAACGGCUCACCAAGGCGAAGACGGGUAGCUGGUCUGAGAGGAUGAUCAGCCGCACUGGAACUGAGACACGGUCCAGACUCCUACGGGAGGCAGCAGUGGGGAAUAUUGCGCAAUGGGCGAAAGCCUGACGCAGCCACGCCGCGUGAGCGAUGAAGGCCU